UCCAACAUAAAGUAGGUACAUAUUUCACUUUUUGCUCAACUAAUAAAACAAAGAAAAGCCAUGUUCCUAAACAAACAAUACAUUAGACAUCACCAGUUUAUACAAAAGAACAAACUAUAUACCAAGGAUAGUUUGUGUUACAUAGAAGAUUAUGCUCAAGAACUAAAACCCAAAAUUAAAGAGUGGAUUAGUUUUGCUAACAACCAACAAGAAUUUCAAAACUGCUUUCCUUAAACUAGAUAAAAUUAGUAAAAAAAUGCAUGGUGCCCGAACAAUUGGUACUUGAAAUGUCUGAAUGGUUAUUCUACUAAUUCACUCAUGCGAUGGGAGUUUAUACUCAUAUACUCAAUAUAAAUUCCCGUGUACAAUUAUAAAAGGUUUAUAAUGAUAAAAUUGUAAGUAAGGUUGCUGAACCUCAUGUUGUAAGUAACAUGAAAAUAAAUAGAUUCAAUAACCUAGGUGAAGUUUUGGAAAUGCUUAUAAUUAUUAAUUGUUUUUUCCUUCUCUUUCUCCAAUUUUUUCAUAUGGUUUGCUAUUCAUAAAAUGAGAUCAAAAUAACUGAGACACGUACCAUGCAUAGAUUGAAAUUCUAGCCAAAAAGCUAAUGCAACAACUUAGUAUGUGACCCAAUCCUGACAAAGACUAAGCAAACAAGCUUGGAUACAGUCUUGGAAAGAAAUUAUUUGCUACUCUUCUUUAAGUUAUGUUGAACUGCCUUGUAUAUUUAAGUUAUGUAUAUUUUGCCAUGUAUAUUUUUACAGGAAAAAAUUAUUGAGUUAAAGAAGACUCAGGAAUCGACUGGUGAAAGCAGUAGUACAGGACGUAAUGAUAUACUUGCACAAGUGCUUGGACCAGAGCGACAUGGUAGACUUCGACAAGGUGGAGUUGGUGCCACAGCUACAAACACUUGGGGGUCUCGUGACACAGAUAAUGAGGUACAACGUGAGAAUCAAGAAUUGAAAGCUGAGUUGAAAAAGGUGCGGGAAAAAGGAGACGAUACUGCAAGGAAAGUGGAUGAACUAUUAUCAAUUAUGACAGAAUUUAUGAAGAAGUCAUCAAUUCCAAAUGCUCAUUCCAACAAUCAGAUGUUGCUCUCUCACUCCACUUAUACUUAAAAUUUUUGCUCUAUCACUCUGUUUGUAUGGAUUAACAAGUUCACUUGAUAAUUAAUUUGUAGGAUCGAUCCACAGAAGGAGAUAAUUGUGAUAUUGGUGGAUCAAAUAAUCCUAUAGAGGACCUGUGACAUGUCUCGUGCUGCUAGAGAUAUGUUACAUGUGCUGUUGGAAAUUUGUUAGAUGUAACACUAUUUUGGAUGAAAAUUUGUUAGAUGUGAUACUGAAAAUAUGUUAAAUAUGCUACUGGUUAUGUACUGUUUUGAUACAUAGUAACAGUAUUUUGGAUGGUUAUGUAUAUUUAGAUGAUAUUAUACAUAAAUAGACUUUAUUUAUUUUGUUCUUUUAGUUGUAAAUGUUAUAUUCAGAUUGGAUGGUUGAAUAUAGUUAUGCUUC
rnacentral:lncRNA from 1 species